UCCCACCAGGCCCCACCGCCAACAUUGAGGAUUACAAUUCAAUCUGGGCAGGGACAAAUAUCCACUUUAUAUCAGAAGGCAUCAACAAUGUCACUUUAUUAUUCAAGUUAUACUGCUUGGCAGUGAUGACCCUGAUGGCUGCAGCCUAUACCAUAGCUUUAAGAUACACAAGGACAUCAGACAAAGAACUCUACUUUUCAACCACAGCCGUGUGUAUCACAGAAGUUAUAAAGUUAUUGCUAAGUGUGGGAAUUUUAGCUAAAGAAACUGGUAGUCUGGGUAGAUUCAAAGCAUCUUUAAGAGAAAAUGUCUUGGGGAGCCCCAAGGAACUGUUGAAGUUAAGUGUGCCAUCGUUAGUGUAUGCUGUUCAGAACAACAUGGCUUUCCUAGCUCUUAGCAAUCUGGAUGCAGCAGUGUACCAGGUGACCUACCAGUUAAAGAUUCCGUGUACUGCUUUAUGCACUGUUUUAAUGUUAAACCGGACACUCAGCAAAUUACAGUGGGUUUCAGUUUUUAUGCUGUGUGCUGGAGUCACGCUUGUACAGUGGAAACCAGCCCAAGCUACAAAAGUUGUGGAGUAUAUUUUGAAAAAGUUUUAAAGAGUUCAGAUACUUCUCUUUGGGUGAGAAACAUUCAAAUGUAUCUAUCAGGGAUUAUUGUGACAUUAGUUGGCGUCUACUUGUCAGAUGGAGCUGAAAUUAAAGAAAAAGGAUUUUUCUAUGGUUACACAUAUUAUGUCUGGUUUGUCAUCUUUCUUGCAAGUGUUGGUGGCCUCUACACUUCUGUUGUGGUUAAGUACACAGACAACAUCAUGAAAGGCUUUUCUGCAGCAGCGGCCAUUGUCCUUUCCACCAUUGCUUCAGUAAUGCUGUUUGGAUUACAGAUAACACUCACCUUUGCUCUGGGUACUCUUCUUGUAUGUGUUUCCAUAUAUCUCUAUGGAUUACCCAGACAAGACACUACAUCCAUCCAACAAGGAGAAACAGCUUCAAAGGAGAGAGUUAUUGGUGUGUGAUUUUAGCCUCACAUGAGACUCCUUUUAAGACUAAACCAUUUGCAUUAAACUAGAGCCUUAAGUCAAUCUCAGAAGGUAGCAUAAACAAAAAUUAACUGUAUGGCAUGAUCAGUGCAGUUAUGUGGAAACAACAACAAACAAAGCUAUCUGAGUGAACUGCUAAUACAGAAACUUAACAUAGACCUGUUUGGGGUCUAACUAUUGUUUUAGAAUGAAGGAAUUUUAUUAUUGUGUAUAUAUAUAAUUUGUAAAUAAAAAGUAUGGAGAUGA
rnacentral:sRNA from 1 species